CACCAUCCGGUAAGGCUAAAUACUCCUGAGAGACCGAUAGUGAACCAGUACCGUGAGGGAAAGGUGAAAAGUACCUUGAAUAAAGGGGUGAAAUAGAACCUGAAACCGCACGCCUACAAGCGGUCGGAGGCACCUAGUGUGCUGACGGCGUGCCUUUUGCAUAAUGAGCCUACGAGUUACUCUUCACUAGCAAGGUUAAGUCAUUAAGUGACGUAGCCGGAGCGAAAGCGAGUCUGAAUAGGGCGUCGAGUUCGUCGGAUUAGACCCGAAACCGGGUGAUCUAGCCAUGGGCAGGUUGAAGGUGCGGUAACACGCACUGGAGGACCGAACCCACGUCUGUUGAAAAAGACGGGGAUGACGUGUGGCUAGGGGUGAAAGGCCAAUCAAACUCGGAAAUAGCUGGUUCUCCGCGAAAUCUAUUUAGGUAGAGCGUCAUUGGAUUACCAUCGGGGGUAG
rnacentral:rRNA from 1 species